rnacentral:tRNA from 1 species
GGGCAUAUGGCGGAAUUGGUAGACGCGCUUGACUCAAAAUCAAGUUCUAACGAGUGUGGGUUCGAGUCCCACUUUGCCCACCA